AUACAGUUCACUGCCUGGAGUGGCGUGAACUCGAAACGUUCAGGCGCUAUAGGAUGUGGCUGCGGCCGAUUAGGUAGACGGUGGGGUAACGGCCCACCGUGCCCAUAAUCGGUACGGGUUGUGAGAGCAAGAGCCCGGAGACGGUAUCUGAGACAAGAUACCGGGCCCUACGGGGCGCAGCAGGCGCGAAACCUUUACACUGCACGCGAGUGCGAUAAGGGGACUCCAAGUGCGAGGGCAUAUAGUCCUCGCUUUUCACCACCGUAAGGAGGUGGUAGAAUAAGUGCUGGGCAAGACCGGUGCCAGCCGCCGCGGUAAUACCGGCAGCACGAGUGAUGACCGCUAUUAUUGGGCCUAAAGCGUCCGUAGCUGGCCAUACAAGUCUAUCGGGAAAUCUGCGCGCUUAACGCGCAGGCGUCCGGUGGAAACUGUGUGGCUUGGGACCGGAAGACCAGAGGGGUACGUCCGGGGUAGGAGUGAAAUCCCGUAAUCCUGGACGGACCACCGGUGGCGAAAGCGCCUCUGGAAGACGGAUCCGACGGUGAGGGACGAAAGCUCGGGUCACGAACCGGAUUAGAUACCCGGGUAGUCCGAGCUGUAAACGAUGUCUGCUAGGUGUGGCACAGGCUACGAGCCUGUGCUGUGCCGUAGGGAAGCCGAGAAGCAGACCGCCUGGGAAGUACGUCCGCAAGGAUGAAACUUAAAGGAAUUGGCGGGGGAGCACUACAACCGGAGGAGCCUGCGGUUUAAUUGGACUCAACGCCGGACAUCUCACCAGCAUCGACAAUGUGCAGUGAAGGUCAGAUUGAUGAUCUUACUGGAGCCAUUGAGAGGAGGUGCAUGGCCGCCGUCAGCUCGUACCGUGAGGCGUCCUGUUAAGUCAGGCAACGAGCGAGACCCACACUCUUAAUUGCCAGCAACACCCUUGCGGUGGUUGGGUACAUUAGGAGGACUGCCAGUGCCAAACUGGAGGAAGGAAUGGGCAACGGUAGGUCAGUAUGCCCCGAAUGUGCUGGGCGACACGCGGGCUACAAUGGCCGAGACAGUGGGACGCAACCCCGAAAGGGGACGCUAAUCUCCGAAACUCGGUCGUAGUUCGGAUUGAGGGCUGAAACUCGCCCUCAUGAAGCUGGAUUCGGUAGUAAUCGCCUUCAGAAGAGCGCGGUGAAUACGUCCCUGCU
rnacentral:rRNA from 1 species